rnacentral:rRNA from 1 species
GGGUGCGAUCAUACCAGCACUAAUGCACHGGAUCCCAUCAGAACUCCGAUGUUAAGCGUGCUUGGGCGGGAGUAGAGUAGGAUGGGUGACCUCUUGGGAAGUCCUUGUGUUGCACCCC